rnacentral:rRNA from 1 species
GACGAACGCUGGCGGCGUGCCUAAUACAUGCAAGUAGGACGCUGAAGAGAGGAGCUUGCUCUUCUUGGAUGAGUUGCGAACGGGUGAGUAACGCGUAGGUAACCUGCCUUGUAGCGGGGGAUAAAUAUUGGAAACGAUAGCUAAUACCGCAUAACAAUGGAUGACACAUGUCAUUUAUUUGAAAGGGGCAAUUGCUCCACUACAAGAUGGACCUGCGUUGUAUUAGCUAGUAGGUGAGGUAACGGCUCACCUAGGCGACGAUACAUAGCCGACCUGAGAGGGUGAUCGGCCACACUGGGACUGAGACACGGCCCAGACUCCUACGGGAGGCAGCAGUAGGGAAUCUUCGGCAAUGGGGGCAACCCUGACCGAGCAACGCCGCGUGAGUGAAGAAGGUUUUCGGAUCGUAAAGCUCUGUUGUAAGUCAAGAACGAGUGUGAGAGUGGAAAGUUCACACUGUGACGGUAGCUUACCAGAAAGGGACGGCUAACUACGUG